GAACAUAAGAGUUUGAUCCUGGCUCAGAUUGAACGCUGGCGGCAUGCUUUACACAUGCAAGUCGGACGGCAGCACAGAGAAGCUUGCUUCUUGGGUGGCGAGUGGCGAACGGGUGAGUAAUGCAUCGGAACGUACCGAGUAGUGGGGGAUAACUGUCCGAAAGGAUGGCUAAUACCGCAUACGCUUUGAGAAGGAAAGCAGGGGCUCUUCGGACCUUGCGCUAUUCGAGCGGCCGAUGUCUGAUUAGCUGGUUGGUGGGGUAAAGGCCUACCAAGGCGACGAUCAGUAGCGGGUCUGAGAGGAUGAUCCGCCACACUGGGACUGAGACACGGCCCAGACUCCUACGGGAGGCAGCAGUGGGGAAUUUUGGACAAUGGGCGCAAGCCUGAUCCAGCCAUGCCGCGUGUCUGAAGAAGGCCUUCGGGUUGUAAAGGACUUUUGUCAGGGAAGAAAAGGUUGUGGUUAAUACCCAUGACUGAUGACGGUACCUGAAGAAUAAGCACCGGCUAACUACGUGCCAGCAGCCGCGGUAAUACGUAGGGUGCGAGCGUUAAUCGGAAUUACUGGGCGUAAAGCGGGCGCAGACGGUUACUUAAGUCAGAUGUGAAAUCCCCGGGCUCAACCUGGGAACUGCGUUUGAAACUGGGUGACUAGAGUAUGUCAGAGGGGGGUAGAAUUCCACGUGUAGCAGUGAAAUGCGUAGAGAUGUGGAGGAAUACCGAUGGCGAAGGCAGCCCCCUGGGAUAAUACUGACGUUCAUGCCCGAAAGCGUGGGUAGCAAACAGGAUUAGAUACCCUGGUAGUCCACGCCCUAAACGAUGUCAAUUAGCUGUUGGGCAACUUGAUUGCUUAGUAGCGUAGCUAACGCGUGAAAUUGACCGCCUGGGGAGUACGGUCGCAAGAUUAAAACUCAAAGGAAUUGACGGGGACCCGCACAAGCGGUGGAUGAUGUGGAUUAAUUCGAUGCAACGCGAAGAACCUUACCUGGUCUUGACAUGUACGGAAUCCUCCAGAGACGGAGGAGUGCCUUCGGGAGCCGUAACACAGGUGCUGCAUGGCUGUCGUCAGCUCGUGUCGUGAGAUGUUGGGUUAAGUCCCGCAACGAGCGCAACCCUUGUCAUUAGUUGCCAUCAUUUGGUUGGGCACUCUAAUGAGACUGCCGGUGACAAGCCGGAGGAAGGUGGGGAUGACGUCAAGUCCUCAUGGCCCUUAUGACCAGGGCUUCACACGUCAUACAAUGGUCGGUACAGAGGGUAGCCAAGCCGCGAGGUGGAGCCAAUCCCACAAAACCGAUCGUAGUCCGGAUUGCACUCUGCAACUCGAGUGCAUGAAGUCGGAAUCGCUAGUAAUCGCAGGUCAGCAUACUGCGGUGAAUACGUUCCCGGGUCUUGUACACACCGCCCGUCACACCAUGGGAGUGGGGGAUACCAGAAGUAGGUAGGGUAACCGCAAGGAGCCCGCUUACCACGGUAUGCUUCAUGACUGGGGUGAAGUCGUAACAAGGUAGCCGUAGGGGAACCUGCGGCUGGAUCACCUCCUUU
rnacentral:rRNA from 1 species